CUUACUGUCUAAUCUCACUGUCUAAUCUCACUGUCUAAUCUUACUGUCUAAUCUUACUGUCUAACCUUACUG